UACGAAGGGUGCAAGCGUUAAUCGGAAUUACUGGGCGUAAAGGGUGCGUAGGCGGUUGUUUAAGUCUGCCGUGAAAUCCCCGGGCUCAACCUGGGAAUGGCGGUGGAUACUGGAUAGCUAGAGUGUGUCAGAGGAUGGUGGAAUUCCCGGUGUAGCGGUGAAAUGCGUAGAGAUCGGGAGGAACACCGGUGGCGAAGGCGGCGAUCUGGGGUAGAUACUGACGCUGAGGUGCGAAAAGCGUGGGGGAGCAAACAGG
rnacentral:rRNA from 1 species